GGAAAUAGCAGAAAAUAAUAGGAUCGGGAAUGAACGAGUUUCGCAUGUGGGCGUGGUUGAAAAGCUUCUCUUUCGCGAUUCACAAAGGCCUGCAUUAACGUUCCAGCCGAUUUAUAACUGGUUCCAUUGGUUAUUGCCAUUUCUGUAAUGCACGUGGGUAUCAGAAGCACUCUAUAGUAACUUGCCCAGUCUUUCUACCUUUCUCUGAAUAUCUCCGAUAUUUGCUUAUUUUAAAUAUAACUGGCAAAGAUCGUUCUUGACCUUUUGUUUGCGAUCGCGUUCAAGGUACAUACUUACUUAUGUGCAUGCCUAUUUUCUGACUACGUAUCACCAUAUUUAAUUUUUGCAUGUAGAAACCAAUAUACAAUACAUAAUGCGAUAUGUCUUGAUCAUUUAAUACUUUGAUAAAUAUUUAUAAGAAAUACGAUUUGAACGAUCUGACACGUUGUUUGUUUCUUUGGUGAAUGAUCUUUUAUCGUUCCAGUUUAUAAUAUCGCAUAUAUAUGUAGAUCUGUGAUACAAUCGAAUAUAUAUAUUAUACUGGAUGCUUACAUACCCCAAUAUAUAGUGUAAAGACAAUUCACUUUAUCGAUUACUAAUCCUACGAUUCGAUUGUAUCACAGAUUUAUCAUAACUGCUGACCUCUACGAUAUAGUGUGGCGCUCGACUGCCGCGUAGUGUCAUUUAACGGUUGCGAGCAAGAGCGAUGCGUAGCCGUAGCGUAUUGUAUUGUUGACUUUAGUCGAGGCUCGGUCGUAGGGAUAUAUUUGGCGGCUGUCGAGUAAUGUAGUCGAGGCUCGUACCAAAGAUGUUAAUAUUUACAAGACUGAUAGAUCGAUAAAUCUCUCUGUUCUACUUUUUAGCAUGUACUUCCAAGAGUGACAGAAGUCCCCGUGGUUCGCGAAGAAGACUCAGGCGAACAUGAUCAGGGACGCGGAAUUUGAAACCAGUUGCGUGUCAAUCGUAGAAAAAAAGGACCAGCUUAAAAUCCCUGUCGGAAGUAAGUUCACAGCACUUAGCCACGGUGUGGUUGUCUAACCGGUACUCCGGUACUGUACAUUCGAAACGAUACAGACAGGAUUGGCAAGCGAAGAACAGGGCACGCGAGUGCUGCUUCUGUCUUCGGCUGAUGCUCGCUCCUCGCUACUCGCUGCUACACGGCCACAGGAACCACGUUGGUGCCCCCUCCUUUUCUCCGUUUUUUCUUCCUUACUACGUUGCCUCUCACAAUGAUCCGUUACUCCUUCCGCUUGCGUCUGCUAACUUUAUCCGAUCGCCCGUUCGUUCGUUCUUUCGUUCGAUUGAUACCGAGAUUUAUCCGAUUAAUAUGAAACAGCCGAAUCCCUUCAAAUAACAAUUUUAGUUUUCCUUGUUACACGACAUUUCACAUUUACACGAUCAAAACAUUUUCAAGUAAAGAUAUCGAGGAUUGUUCUAUAGUUAAAAAGUUACGUAAAAGAUUUUUUAUCAUGUUUUUUAUCCACUAUUUUGACCUCAUAAUCCCAACCUAACUGUGUGCAUAAUAACGUAAACGUGGUUAUAGUCAGACCGCGAAUAUUUAUGCAAAUUUAUAGUUUCGCUGUCACACAAGUAUACGCUUUAAAUAUAUCGUAGAUUAUCGUAGAAUUUUAUAAAUGUUAUUAUCUCUCUAGACACCAGAAUUCAUCGGAUUUAAAAGAUACUCGCAUAUAUUAACACCGUUGGUAUAUACCUUUCACACUUUUGUGUUUCGUAGGAUAUAUCAUCUAGGCGAUUAAAUUUUCAUAAUUAGCUAUGGAUUACAGCAAUGAAUGAAGUAAAUAGUGUUCUGCGGUUCUAUCUAACGUUACUCUUCUUUUCGCUCGAUUUUCCUCUGUUUUUUCUGCGUAUUUUCCAUAACUGUAUUCGCCUUGUUUCAUGCGAAAUGAGAUGCUAAUAAUAGAUGAUAAUAAGAUACGCGUAAAAUAUAAAGUGAAUUACUUUAAACGUCUGUCGAUUGGAUUAUACGAUUUAAUAUCCAGCCUUUCCCAUAAUUCAAAUAUGUAUGGUCAAAUAGAAAGGCGAUCUUGUACGAAAAAGUAAAUGAAAGACAUGGAAUUUUGACAUUUUCGAUCAAAAAUUUACUUUAAAUAUUUGUAUAACACGUUUAUAUUUAUUGUAAUGGAUACUGAAAAGUAUAGUAUUAAGUAACGAUAACGAUAAAUUGUAUUACUUUGUAAUAAAGGUAGAAUCGCCCAAUUGUACUAUCACUGAUAAAACAUCCUGUACAUUCUACUACAAUGGAAAAAGAAUAAAAGGCCAACAGCUUCAGUUUCAGA